ensembl:snoRNA
CUAGGGUGGCACUCUGUGUGCUCCAGCCAGCUGUUCACACAGCCAGACACCCUGCAAAAGUAACGUCUUCCUUUAAGACCUGGCAUGCGCUUCUGUUGUUGUUGUUUUAGUACAUUGCUACUAAAAGUGAGUACAAAU